CUUGCUACAAUGAAAGAAAACUAAACAAAAUUCUAUUUACUAUGAUUAAAGUGUGAUUUUCAGUCUCUUUUGAUAAGAAAUAAUAAGAGCUUUGCAAAAUCCAUUGAUGUUUUUUUAACAUUCUGGUCAAGGGGAGACAAAUGCAUAAAUCACAUCAAAAUUAAACAAAAAUAGCUGUCUAAAAUCUGAAGGGAAAUCCAGAAAGUGAAAAAAACUUUACAAAAUCAGUCAUUUUAAACUUAUAAAAGGUAUAUUUAUUUUUAAGGUUGAAAAACAAACAUCUAUAACAGAAAAUUUGUAGGAAUAAAAAUAUUGGUUGAAAUGACUAUUUGAGCAUCAAUGUAUGUACAUGUUUGUAUAUUAUGUGUGCAAGUGGUAUCAUAGCAUGGAGGUACAUGUAUGAUGUAGUCAUUGUCAUGUUUUGAUUUUGAUGAGUUGAGUUUAAUUUUGAUUUUGAUGGUGACCUUAGGCCCAUGAAGAUGGAAAUAAAAUAAAUUUAAAUUACAGUUUAAACUACAUACUGGCAAUUAGUUUUUUAACAUUUUUUAUACACUUAUCUAUAUUCUAACAUAAUAGGGUGCAGCACCCAUACAUUCAAUAAUUUCAACCGUUAUGCAUAAACAUAUUAAUUUGGAAUAUGAUGAAAUUAAAUCAGAUUUAUGGGGCUCUAAUUACUUGACCAAAAAUAUGGAGACAGCUACCCACCAGAAAGCCCACAACUCUAUCAAUUCAACACCUUCUUUUACAAACAUGUUCAGUAGUGGUACUAUUAAAAGUUGACAAUGUGGCUAAAGCAGAGGUACUUUUUGCCAACUAUGUAUGAUGGCUGAUCACUUUAUCUUUGAACUAUAUAUGAUGGCUGAUCACUUUAACUUUGAACUAUAUAUGAUGAAUAAAUAUUUGACCAACCCCCCUUUUAUCUUCUAUUUUACUAAGUAAAAAUUGAUAUGCAGGUGCUUGAAGGUAUGAAAUCAUUGGGGUUUUUUUUAACAAACUAGAGGCUCUAAAGAGCCUGUGUCGCUCACCUUGGUCUAUGUGCAUAUUAAACAAAGGAGUCACAAAUGGAUUCAUGACAAAAUUGUAUUUGGUGAUGGUGAUGUGUUUGAAGUUUCUUACUUUACUGAACAUUCUUGCUUCUUACAAUUAUAUCUAUAAUGAACUUUGCCCAUUAGUAACAGAGAAAAAUAUUUGGUAAAAAUUU
rnacentral:lncRNA from 1 species